CAUACCGCGAUAGAGGGAGGAAGGCUCUAGGGAGUCUGACACCGCUUUUGACAGGGAAGAAUCCAUGACGGUACCUGUCGAAUCAGCCUCGACGCUAACUCCGUGCCAGCUCCCGCGGUAAUACGGAGGAGGCAAGCGGAUAUCCGGAAUUAUUGGGCGUAAAGGGUUUGUAGAUGGUUGGAUGUGUCUGCUGUUAAAGCCAAUAGCUCAACUAUUGAGGUGCAGCGGAAACUAUUCGACUAGAGGACAGUAGGGGCAGAGGGAAUUCCCAGUGUAGCGGUGAAAUGCGUAGAUAUUGGGAAGAACACCGGU
rnacentral:rRNA from 1 species